GUGCCGCCGGCGUGCGGGCACGCGUCUCUGAACCCCAAAGGCGCAGACAACUCGAUCUAGAGUGGGAUCACGGACUCGGCACGGGCGCAAGCCAAAUGCCGGGUCCCUCCAUCCCGGGGUGUCCCGGCACCGGGCGUCGUUAGUUCGGCGCCCUUGCGGGCAUCCCUCGAGUGCGUAGGAUGCGACCCGAAAGAUGGUGAACUAUGCCUGAUCAGGCCGAAGUCAGGGGAAACCCUGAUGGAGGGCCGAAGCAAUUCUGACGUGCAAAUCGAUUGUCAGAGUUGGGCAUAGGGGCGAAAGACCAAUCGAACCAUC
rnacentral:rRNA from 1 species